UGAGGAAUAUUGGUCAAUGGGCGGGAGCCUGAACCAGCCAAGUCGCGUGAGGGAAGACGGCCCUACGGGUUGUAAACCUCUUUUACAAGGGAAUAAAGGACACCAUGCGUGGUGUUUUGCAUGUACCCUGUGAAUAAGCAUCGGCUAACUCCGUGCCAGCAGCCGCGGUAAUACGGAGGAUGCGAGCGUUAUCCGGAUUCAUUGGGUUUAAAGGGUGCGUAGGUUGCCGAUUAAGUCAGCGGUGAAAGUCAGUGGCUCAACCAUUGAAUUGCCGUUGAAACUGGUUGGCUUGAGUGCGUACGGGGCAGGCGGAAUGCGUGGUGUAGCGGUGAAAUGCAUAGAUAUCACGCAGAACCCCGAUCGCGAAGGCAGCCUGCCAGGCCGUGACUGACACUGAUGCACGAAAGCG
rnacentral:rRNA from 1 species